GUCUCCUUGGUUUAGUUGGAAAAAUCUUAUACUUCAAAAGGUCGAGGGUUCGAACCCCCUGAAGGACUUUAUUUUUAUUUUAACUGAAAUUUAAUAGAAAUAAUAAACAAAUGGUGGAGAUAGGCUCAAAGAAGUAAAAAAUACCAUUUUUCGUCUCCUUGGUUUAGUUGGAAAAAUCUUCAAUUUCAAAAAGUCGAGGGUUCGAACCCCACUGAAGAAU
rnacentral:tRNA from 1 species